CUAGGCAGCGGCGACAUUUCGACCUAGAACGAUGCUAUCUCUUCGGCGGCAUGACUGGUUCGAAGGGGAAGGGUUUCGUUCUUCUCUUCUCUUCGCUUUGAUCUGGAAAAAAAUCUUAGUUCAAUUUUUGAGUCCCUCUUCUCAGCCCUCUUUGUCCAAAUUUGAGCCCGAAAGUUGUUCGACAUCAAUCGGUUUAGGGUAAACAAAAGCUGCGACUCUUAUUCUUGAACAGAGCUUCGAUUCUUCUUCUUCUUCAACGUAGCUUUGAUUCUUCUUCUUCUUCAACAUAGCUUCGACUUGCAGCCCUAACAGGUUACAUACACCAGGCUUGGGUUCUUCUCAAUGUUUUUUGGUUGGAUAGGAUCCUUCUCUCUCUCUCUGCCCUAUGAAUUGCAAUUUCUGUGCCUUAAUUGAUUUUUUCUUGCCAAAUGCGUUUUUGGCAUUUUUUUU